GAUUGAACGCUGGCGGCAGGCCUAACACAUGCAAGUCGAGCGGUAGCACAGAGAGCUUGCUCUCGGGUGACGAGCGGCGGACGGGUGAGUAAUGUCUGGGAAACUGCCUGAUGGAGGGGGAUAACUACUGGAAACGGUAGCUAAUACCGCAUAACGUCGCAAGACCAAAGUGGGGGACCUUCGGGCCUCAUGCCAUCAGAUGUGCCCAGAUGGGAUUAGCUAGUAGGUGGGGUAACGGCUCACCUAGGCGACGAUCCCUAGCUGGUCUGAGAGGAUGACCAGCCACACUGGAACUGAGACACGGUCCAGACUCCUACGGGAGGCAGCAGUGGGGAAUAUUGCACAAUGGGCGCAAGCCUGAUGCAGCCAUGCCGCGUGUGUGAAGAAGGCCUUCGGGUUGUAAAGCACUUUCAGCGGGGAGGAAGGCGAUAAGGUUAAUAACCUUGGCGAUUGACGUUACCCGCAGAAGAAGCACCGGCUAACUCCGUGCCAGCAGCCGCGGUAAUACGGAGGGUGCAAGCGUUAAUCGGAAUUACUGGGCGUAAAGCGCACGCAGGCGGUCUGUCAAGUCGGAUGUGAAAUCCCCGGGCUUAACCUGGGAACUGCAUUCGAAACUGGCAGGCUAGAGUCUUGUAGAGGGGGGGUAGAAUUCCAGGUGUAGCGGUGAAAUGCGUAGAGAUCUGGAGGAAUACCGGUGGCGAAGGCGGCCCCCUGGACAAAGACUGACGCUCAGGUGCGAAAGCGUGGGGAGCAAACAGGAUUAGAUACCCUGGUAGUCCACGCCGUAAACGAUGUCGAUUUGGAGGUUGUGCCCUUGAGGUGUGGCUUCCGGAGCUAACGCGUUAAAUCGACCGCCUGGGGAGUACGGCCGCAAGGUUAAAACUCAAAUGAAUUGACGGGGGCCCGCACAAGCGGUGGAGCAUGUGGUUUAAUUCGAUGCAACGCGAAGAACCUUACCUGGUCUUGACAUCCACAGAACUUUCCAGAGAUGGAUUGGUGCCUUCGGGAACUGUGAGACAGGUGCUGCAUGGCUGUCGUCAGCUCGUGUUGUGAAAUGUUGGGUUAAGUCCCGCAACGAGCGCAACCCUUAUCCUUUGUUGCCAGCGGUCCGGCCGGGAACUCAAAGGAGACUGCCAGUGAUAAACUGGAGGAAGGUGGGGAUGACGUCAAGUCAUCAUGGCCCUUACGACCAGGGCUACACACGUGCUACAAUGGCAUAUACAAAGAGAAGCGACCUCGCGAGAGCAAGCGGACCUCAUAAAGUAUGUCGUAGUCCGGAUUGGAGUCUGCAACUCGACUCCAUGAAGUCGGAAUCGCUAGUAAUCGUAGAUCAGAAUGCUACGGUGAAUACGUUCCCGGGCCUUG
rnacentral:rRNA from 1 species